rnacentral:rRNA from 1 species
GUUCCCAUCCCGAACACGGAAGUUAAGCUCUUUAGCGCCGAUGGUAGUUGGGGGCUUCCCCCUGUGAGAGUAGGACGUUGCCUGGU